UACAGGAUCUUUCUUCCCUAAAGGGUGGGCUUAUAUCGUGAAGACUGAAUGUGGACCCUGAUAUGAAUCAUUUAUCACACAGACAGUCAUCUGAACUGGAAAAGAAAAUAAAUAGUUAGUCCUGAUCAUGAGCAGAAGGCAAGACUCAUUCCUCCAAGCUCAUUCUCAACGGAAAAUUGAUGCCAAACCUAAGGUGCUGUGAACAAAACUCACUGACAGCAAACAAUUUCUCCAAAGCUCAACUCCUUAGAAGCAUUUUGUCAACGUUGGGUAAUUAGUUUCCAUGAUCAUCGCUGUCUUUCAUUGGGUCUGCGUAGCUGGUUACAUUGUUCUCCAGUCUUCUUCUGUGUUCCAAUGAAGGACCAAUGUGAUGCUCAACAGUUAUUUUGAGGAGAAGCUGUGGGCUGCAGAAUGGGAAGGUGGAGAAGGUGGUACAAUUGCCCUCCUCCUUCAAGACUCAUCAAAAGUUAUAGAACAGUGCUGCCUUUGCCAGCUCCCCAAGGCUGUUAGCUGCUGUCUCAUGAGAUUCCACAAAGCUUUGUUCAUACUUUUCAGGUUUUUUACACU